rnacentral:lncRNA from 1 species
AUGGGAGAUCAUCCAGUUCAACGACUAAAGUUAUUCUAUUAAUAAGGCAAAGAGUGAAGCUUGGAAAUGUCAUCUGGUCUUAAGCCUUAGCAGAUAUGAUCACAUCUGAUUAAUCCGAUGUGGUACAUUGUCCUAUGCUCAAAUGCUGAUAGAAAAUUGUGAUGGCAUUUACUUGUUUUGCAAAUUGUUCUUGAGAUAUUGCUACUCUCUGGGGAAAAUUCACUGAACACUCAUUUCUCAGAACUUGCUUCUAAAAUAUUCGAGUCAAUUCAACCCAUACUCUGGAGGAAACUUCUAUGUUAUGUGCCGGGUAUUGGACUAGCCACUUGGAAGCCAGCGGUGCUUUUCGAACUCUCAUUAAUUUAAAAUUCUUCAGUGGAUUCAUUUGGAUUUUCCAAGACAGUUUCAGAUGCAUUGACAAAGAAGGUGCUCCUGAGGAAUUCGCAGGAGACAAGACUGGGAGGCAAGCAAGCAAGAA